GUCCUGUUGGUCAAAUGGUUAAGACGCCACCCUUUCAAGGUGGAGCUACGGGUUCGAUUCCCGUACAGGGUA
rnacentral:tRNA from 1 species